GAUGAACGCUGGCGGCGUGCCUAAUACAUGCAAGUCGAGCGAACAGACGAGGAGCUUGCUCCUCUGACGUUAGCGGCGGACGGGUGAGUAACACGUGGAUAACCUACCUAUAAGACUGGGAUAACUUCGGGAAACCAGAGAUAAUACCGGAUAAUAUAUUGAACCGCAUGGUUCAAUAGUGAAAGACGGUUUUGCUGUCACUUAUAGCUGGAUCCGCGCCGCAUUAGCUAGUUGGUAAGGUAACGGCUUACCAAGGCGACGAUGCGUAGCCGACCUGAGAGGUUGAUCGGCCACACUGGAACUGAGACACGGUCCAGACUCCUACGGGAGGCAGCAGUAGGGAAUCUUCCGCAAUGGGCGAAAGCCUGACGGAGCAACGCCGCGUGAGUGAUGAAGGUCUUCGGAUCGUAAAACUCUGUUAUUAGGGAAGAAAAAAUGUGUAAGUAACUAUGGACGUCUUGACGGUACCUAAUCAGAAAGCCACGGCUAACUACGUG
rnacentral:rRNA from 1 species